UACGAAGGGGGCUAGCGUUGCUCGGAAUGACUGGGCGUAAAGGGCGCGUAGGCGGAUGGCACAGUCAGAUGUGAAAUUCCCGGGCUUAACCUGGGGGCUGCAUUUGAUACGUGUGAUCUAGAGUGAGGAAGAGGGUCGUGGAAUUCCCAGUGUAGAGGUGAAAUUCGUAGAUAUUGGGAAGAACACCGGUGGCGAAGGCGGCGACCUGGUCCUUGACUGACGCUGAGGCGCGAAAGCGUGGGGAGCAAAC
rnacentral:rRNA from 1 species